GGCCUGGAGGGGAGCCAGGGCUCAGCCCUUAAAAAGGAGGCGCCAGCCUAAUGAGGGACACAGCCCCUCCUCCAGGCCGCCCCUUCCCUCACAUGGAAGACAGACUCUCCUGAGGGGAGGUCCCCCGACACCGGAAGCUGCAGUCCUCCAGGUCUGGCUCUUGGAAGAAGGGAAGGCUGGGAUCAGCGGGGAGGAGUGGUCGCUGCCUCAGGGUUCCCGCCCCCGAGGUGGAUAUGGGAUUGGGACCUCGCCGCAGAUCCCCUUCCCCAGGAAUCCCCAACACCAGACUGGCAGUUCAAGGCCAGCGCUGAGGGCCCUGGCUUGGAAACCCUGCCCCUGGGAGGCAAACCCCGGGCAUCUGCUCUCUUUUCCUCCUCUGGGCUGAAGGCUCCACUGUCUGGCUUCUUUCAGAUCCACCGCCCAAUUCCUUUCCUGGGAUCUUCAGAAUUAUAGAAAUUUGAGGUCAAGACAGACCUGGAUUUAAUUUAAACCUGACACCAACUUUUGUGACCUUGGGCUCCUAACCUGCCUCUCUGAAGUGACUGUUACUAAGAUUAAAAGAAGGUAAUAAAUGUGAAGUGUUUACCUGAAGGGUUUAGCUGGCAUGUAGCAAGCCCUUAAUGACUGCA